rnacentral:rRNA from 1 species
UACGUGAGGGUGCAAGCGUUGUCCGGAAUUAUUGGGCGUAAAGAGCUCGUAGGCGGUUUGUCGCGUCUGCUGUGAAAACCCGAGGCUCAACCUCGGGCCUGCAGUGGGUACGGGCAGACUAGAGUGCGGUAGGGGAGAUUGGAAUUCCUGGUGUAGCGGUGGAAUGCGCAGAUAUCAGGAGGAACACCAAUGGCGAAGGCAGAUCUCUGGGCCGUAACUGACGCUGAGGAGCGAAAGCAUGGGGAGCGAACAGG